rnacentral:lncRNA from 1 species
GGAGAGGCGCACAGCGCAGGCGCUGGCGCGGAGAGGCGCAGGCCCAGGUCCACUCCCCAGCUGUGAAAGGAGGAGCUCUACGGUGACUUUGAAGACUUGGAAACAGGGGACAUGCACAAGGGAAAAUCGGGCCCCGACACUCAGAAUGAAGAUAUAGAGAAACAAGGAAGAAAUUGACCCCGACGAAGAAGAAAGUGCCAAGAAAAAGCAUUUGGAUAAGAAGAGAAAAUUGAAGGAGAUGUUUGAUGCGGAAUAUGAUGAAGGAGAAAGCACAUAUUUUGAUGAUCUUAAAGGAGAAAUGCAGAAAGAAGCACAGCUGAAUCACGUAGAAUUUGAAGAUCAAGAUGAUGAAGCCAGAGUUCAGUAUGAUGGUUUUCGACCUGGGAUGUACGUCCGCGUUGAGAUUGAAAAUGUUCCCUGUGAAUUUGUGCAGAACUUUGACCCCCAUUACCCCAUUAUCCUGGGUGGCUUGGGCAACAGCGAGGGAAAUGUUGGACACGUGCAGUCAUCUUACCCUCUCAUCCCCCUCAGAUGCGUCUGAAGAAACAUCGCUGGUAUAAGAAAAUCCUCAAGUCCCAAGAUCCAAUCAUAUUUUCUGUAGGGUGGAGGAGGUUUCAGACCAUCCUGCUCUAUUAUAUUGAAGACCACAAUGGAAGACAAAGGCUUCUAAAGUAUACCCCACAGCACAUGCAUUGUGGAGCAGCCUUUUGGGGUAAAAUAUGAUUACAAUAACUUGCCUAUUGCCGAGAUUAAACUUUACAGGCUGCGUUAUUUUAGCUUUGUGCUUUUCCUUUCAUAAAAUUCCACUCCUAAGAUGUUUCUGUUUUCUGGGAGCGGGGAGGUGGUUUGGAGUAUAUAUGUAAAUCUAUAUCCAAAUCUAAAUGUCCGUAUCCAGUAUGUUAAACUAGAAUCUAAAAUUUCUGGUUUGCUAUAUUUCUUUUUUUCCUUUUCCUUUAAGACCCUAUCACUCCACAGGGAACUGGUUUCUUGGCAAUACAGUCUGUCAGUGGCAUAAUGGUAACUAUCUUGGACAAUUUCUUUUACAGAUUGGUUUGAGAAAUAUAUCCUGAAUGUGGGUUAUUAUGUACAUGAGACUUUAAGUUGAAAAUUACUCAUUUUUAUUAUUAUAAAGUAAAUUUCCCUUUGCUUUUAA